UCGAGCGCCCCACCCGCGCCUGACCUCCCCGAGCCCCUCCCCGGGCCCCGCCCCUUCCCGGUACAGGACCCCCACCUUCGCUCCUGGGAGCCCCGCUGCACCCCAGGAGUUCCAUUCCAGCCUCCCCAGUGCGAGUGCGGCCGAGCGCUGACUUUUGGGGGCUCCCUCCCCCGUCUCACUGGGUCCCUCUGCGGCUCCCCCGCCCGCUGUCCCGGUUCAGACGUGGCUGCACCCCGGAGGGGGGCGCCGGCCGAGACCUGAGACGUGGCGCUCCCUCUCUGCCGGCCUCGGCUUCAGUGCUUGAAUUUCAGCCACAUCCCUAAGCUGCCAUCUCAGACCAGAGGAACAGGGAGGGGGGCUUUCUGGAAAGAACAUCACCUGGAAGAAAUCAGGACAUGACUGUGGGCCAUGAGUGACCUUCAAAGGAAAGCCGGGUAUCUGUGGUCUUUAAGAUGUGUGUUCUCUUUUUACCCCUGUUUCCAUUCUUUUAGAUCCAUGACAUUUAAAAACUGAAGAAAUGGAAAGAUCAUCUGAUCAGGCCCAUCAGUCUUUUUCCUAAUGCUAAACAUUGGUACAAAGACGUGAAGUUUGAUGUCUCACUAAGAUUGCCUAGGGCUGCUUUAUUGCUCACCUACUUCAAAGUAUUGGGAAAACAUGAUUAUGGGUACAGGUGAUGCUGUGUUGCCCCCAGACAGGUUUCUUUUGUCAGGUUCUUUUGAUGGAUUAGGAACCUACAAGUGGGGAGAUUUUAGGGAAAUAGCCCCUCCACUUGGAUUUCACCAAAACGUCUUUAGGGUUCUCUUACCCCAAGAAACACGCAUUCCUCUUUAGUGUGGCAGCCCACUCUAUUGGCAAAGUUAAGCAGACCAGUUUUACUAAAAAGGAGCCACCCAGAAACUUAGACAGAAAAUACUUGAGGCACAGAUGAGAAUGAGCACAAAUGUGCAUAGCAAGUGCAGUUUCCUGGCCCUUAAACUGAAGGGCCAGGUCAGUCUGCUCCUCCAGGCACAGCCUGGGACCCCAUCAUGUGCCCCACUCUGCAGUCUGAGCUUCCACUCAAGUCCACCAGGGCCUGCCUCACAUAUAUAUACAAGACCCAAUGUCAGAGUCUGCCUCUGCCCAUGUCUGGUCAGAGGGUUGCACUUUGCCACUGCUACAUGUUCCCAGAGGUUGGCACAGCAUGACCUGGACCUCACCUAACCCAGGCAAACUCUGCUCAUCUUCGAGCUCUCUGGAACCCAUUUCUCAAGGGAGAACCACAUUCCCCCACCUCACAGCCAAGUUCAAGGAAGCAGCCUGGCUAAAGCAAUGACUCAAGGAUACCAGAAGCAGAGCACGCAUUUAAGAAGAUGCGCUGACUCGCAGGAGCAGCUGACUCUUCUUAAGAAGAGUUUACUGAUUCUUCUUUCAGUACGGGCCUUUUAAUAAGAUAUUGUAUUUUACUUCAGCUAUGGGUGCAGACAAUUAAAGGAUUCUAGAAAUCUGAA
rnacentral:lncRNA from 1 species